rnacentral:rRNA from 1 species
UCCAGACUCCUACGGGAGGCAGCAGUGGGGGAUAUUGCACAAUGGGGGGAACCCUGAUGCAGCGACGCCGCGUGGGUGAAGGAGCGUUUCGGCGCGUAAAGCCCUAUCGGCAGGGAAGAAGGAGGACGGUACCUGACUAAGAAGCCCCGGCUAACUACGUGCCAGCAGCCGCGGUAAUACGUAGGGGGCAAGCGUUAUCCGGAUUUACUGGGUGUAAAGGGGGCGCAGACGGCAGCGCAAGCCAGGAGUGAAAGCCCGGGGCCCAACCCCGGGACUGCUCUUGGAACUGCGCGGCUGGAGUGCAGGAGGGGCAGGCGGAACUCCUGGUGUAGCGGUGAAAUGCGUAGAUAUCAGGAGGAACACCGGUGGCGAAGGCGGCCUGCUGGACUGCGACUGACGUUGAGGCCCGAAAGCGUGGGGAGCAAACAGGAUUAGAUACCCGAGUACG